AUCUUCCUCAAUGGACGAAAGUCUGACGGAGCAACGCCGCGUGAGUGAUGAAGGUCUNNNGAUCGNACAACUCUGUUGUUAGGNAAGNACAAGUAUCGUUCGAAUAGGGCGGUACCUUGACGGUACCUAACCAGCAAGCCACGGCUAACUACGUGCCAGCAGCCGAGGUAAUAAGUAGGUGGCAAGCGUUAUCCGGAAUUAUUGGGCGUAAAGCGCGCGCAGGCGGUUUAUUAAGUCUGAUGUGAAAGCCCAAGGCUCAACCGUGGAGGGUCAUUGGAAACUGGGAAGCUUGAGUGCAGAAGAGGAGAGUGGAAUUCCAUGUGUAGCGGUGAAAUGCGUAGAGAUAUGGAGGAACACCAGUGGCGAAGGCGACUCUCUGGUCUGCAACUGACGCUGAGGCGCGAAAGCGUGGGGAGCGAACA
rnacentral:rRNA from 1 species